rnacentral:rRNA from 1 species
UACGGGGGGGGCAAGCGUUGUUCGGAAUUACUGGGCGUAAAGGGCUCGUAGGCGGCCGACUAAGUCAGACGUGAAAUCCCUCGGCUUAACCGGGGAACUGCGUCUGAUACUGGUCGGCUUGAAUCCGGGAGAGGGAUGUGGAAUUCCAGGUGUAGCGGUGAAAUGCGUAGAUAUCUGGAGGAACACCGGUGGCGAAGGCGGCAUCCUGGACCGGAAUUGACGCUGAGGAGCGAAAGCCAGGGGAGCAAACGGG